rnacentral:lncRNA from 1 species
CGGGGGGAGGGUGAAUUGGUGAGAUUUAAAAAUCAUAGUCUUUAUAAAAUCCUUUUUGGAAAAGUACAAACCUUUACAAAAUCGUAAGGAAUGAAAAUUUUAAGUGCAGCGGAAAUGUAAAGUUGACUACGUAAAGAGUAAAGUCAACUUAAUGUAAAAGUUUAAGGAUAGAGAAUUCAAACACAAAGUUUUUAUACUGGUUCUGCCUCAAUGCCUACAUCUAGUGUCCUUCCACAGCCAAGAAGCAAAUGCACUAUAAUGGUCAAGGUUUUUACAACAAGGCUUUUAUAUAGACCUCCACAUCAAAAAUAUAAAACACCUCUAUAACCCUAUAACCAAAAUAUGGGCAACAACACAAAGAUCUGCAGCAAUAUAUCCCCUCUUCUGCAAUCUUCAACCCAUUUUGAACAAUCCUCAAAGUGUCAGAACUCCACAAGUCCACCUCUUCUAAUCACAACAGCAAAACAACAAUCUUUCCAAAGAUUGAUAGAAAACUUGAUCAAUAUGAACACCAGUUGUGCAGUAUGAUUAAAUAGUACGCGCAAUGAUACUCCUCUUUAAGAAAC